rnacentral:rRNA from 1 species
CGGGGUGAGUAACACGUGGGUAACCUACCCAUCAGAGGGGGGUAACUACUGGAAACGGUGGCUAAUACCGCAUAAUGUCUACGGACCAAAGCAGGGGCUCUUCGGACCUUGCACUAUCGGAUGAACCCAUAUGGGAUUAGCUAGUAGGUGGGGUAAAGGCUCACCUAGGCGACGAUCUCUAGCUGGUCUGAGAGGAUGAUCAGCCACACUGGGACUGAGACACGGCCCAG